rnacentral:rRNA from 1 species
GUCUACAGCCAUGCCACCCUGAAUGUGCCCGAUCUCGUCUGAUCUCAGAAGCUAAGCAGGGUUGGGCCUGGUUACUACUUGGAUGGGAGACCACCUAGGAAUACCAGGUGCUGUAGGCA